UAUCUUUGUUGGACACAUAACAGGCAAUGAAUAACACCACAUGCGAAUUUUCCUUUAAUCUGUUUUCUGCUAGCUAUUCGGCUGUUCUCCUUCUCUUUUGGCACCAGUUGCGGCUACCUCUACAAGAAGGGGGGUCAAAAGAGCGGCCUCUACUUGGCCCGUCUCCGUCUUCCUAGUCCCUGUGUUCUUCCGCACUUUAUCACACUACCCGUCGAAGUUGUCCCGGCACCUGCAACACUUUGUAUGCAGAAGGUAUCUCUCUGCCAUAAUAUCGACAUAGGUUUAGUGCUGUAUCUGAUGGCAACGACGGUUUUGAACUGUUACUCAGAGCAGAGCAAUCGUAAACACCUGUUUGUCGCAGCACUGGUGCUGCCGUCGACACAGGCGUAAUACGAGGACAAUUGUGUGAACAAUGUUCUCUAAACUCGACGGUUCGUGGUUUAUGCUUCUUUGCGCCGUAGAAGUCUCCACAUCAACGAGCUGGGGCAAAAGGUAAGGGGAAAUGAGAUGCGAGCUCCAUAAAAAAAAUUGUGUUCAGCACUCGGCAGGUACGUAGUUGUUAAUUGAAAUAACAUCAACGUCCAUGGUUUUUCCUCGUGAUGACUGCGUCUCUUACGUGUUUCCAGCUCUCCUCCUCAAAGCGGCACCUAGACCGGGUGAACUCUGCGGAUGCGUCCACGUGAUUAGCGGAGCGACACAAACAGUGCCUAGUACAAUCUAGAGUAUACACUUUUCGUGAUUCAAUAUGUAACCUGUCAGAACGAAGGGACGAGUAUGUGCCAAGAUUGCCAGCGACUGCACUUGGCAUGACGUACAUAGGCAGUCGAUUUAGUCAUCCGAGGAACAGAGAUGCAGCUUUCAUGAGGUACUCCACCGAGUCCUGAACCGUGCAGCGGGGAAUUACUCUGGGUCACUGUUAGUGGCACCGUCUGCGUGGAUUAAGUUGCUUCUUACUCUAACGAUUCAGGUGGCGAAGCUUGUUGACCGGAGUGGCUCACACUUGCAUUAACUUCGCUGCAGAAUAAACGGUACUGGGAAUCGAAACUGAUGCAGAUGUGCUGCAGACAGUACGCAGUUCCUUUGGGACAAUAACGCUAUUACGUAG
rnacentral:lncRNA from 1 species